GCGUACUAUCUGGAAGGAGCGGCUGACGCCCGCAAGCGCGAUCUCGCGCGGCGAGAGACCGGACAGCGUGGUGUC
rnacentral:sRNA from 1 species